CCUACGGGAGGCAGCAGUGGGGAAUCUUAGACAAUGGGCGCAAGCCUGAUCUAGCCAUGCCGCGUGAGUGAUGAAGGCCUUAGGGUCGUAAAGCUCUUUCGCCUGUGAAGAUAAUGACUGUAGCAGGUAAAGAAACCCCGGCUAACUCCGUGCCAGCAGCCGCGGUAAUACGGAGGGGGUUAGCGUUGUUCGGAAUUACUGGGCGUAAAGCGCGCGUAGGCGGACAUUUAAGUCAGAGGUGAAAUCCCAGGGCUCAACCCUGGAACUGCCUUUGAUACUGGGUGUCUUGAGUUCGAGAGAGGUGAGUGGAAUUCCGAGUGUAGAGGUGAAAUUCGUAGAUAUUCGGAGGAACACCAGUGGCGAAGGCGGCUCACUGGCUCGAUACUGACGCUGAGGUGCGAAAGUGUGGGGAGCAAACAGGAUUAGAUACCCUGGUAG
rnacentral:rRNA from 1 species